rnacentral:rRNA from 1 species
AUAUUGGACAAUGGGUUAGCGCCUGAUCCAGCCAUCCCGCGUGAAGGAUUAAGGACCUAUGGUUUGUAAACUUCUUUUGUACAGGGAUAAACCUACUCUCGUGAGAGUAGCUGAAGGUACUGUACGAAUAAGCACCGGCUACCUCCGUGCCAGCAGCCGCGGUAAUACGGAGGGUGCAAGCGUUAUCCGGAUUUAUUGGGUUUAAAGGGUCCGUAGGCGGACUGGUAAGUCAGCGGUGAAAUCUCAUAGCUUAACUAUGAAACUGCCGUUGAUACUGUCAGUCUUGAGUGUAGUUGAAGUAGCUGGAAUGAGUAGUGUAGCGGUGAAAUGCAUAGAUAUUACUCAGAACACCAAUUGCGAAGGCAGGUUACUAAGUUACAACUGACGCUGAUGGACGAAAGCGUGGGGAGCGAAC